rnacentral:misc_RNA from 1 species
UUAAGUUCAGCGGGUAGUCUUACCUGAUUUGAGGUCAAAAUUGUCAUAAGUUGUCCGGUAAAGGACGGUUAGAAGCAGGUUCAUUAUAGCAUCCCAAGUCCACGGCGUAGAUAAUUAUCACACCAAUAGAUUUAGGGGCCAAACCCACUAAUACAUUUCAGAGGAGCAGACCACUAGUGUGGACCUGCAAGCCCCCAUAU